AGUGAACGCUGGCGGCAGGCCUAACACAUGCAAGUCGAACGGCAGCACAAGAGAGCUUGCUCUCUGGGUGGCGAGUGGCGGACGGGUGAGGAAUGCAUCGGAAUCUGCCCAUUUGUGGGGGAUAACCUCGGGAAACCGGGACUAAUACCGCAUACGACCUACGGGUGAAAGCAGGGGAUCUUCGGACCUUGCGCAGAUGGAUGAGCCGAGGCCGGAUUAGCUAGUUGGAGGGGUAAAGGCCCACCAAGGCGACGAUCCGUAGCUGGUCUGAGAGGAUGAUCAGCCACACUGGGACUGAGACACGGCCCAGACUCCUACGGGAGGCAGCAGUGGGGAAUAUUGGACAAUGGGCGCAAGCCUGAUCCAGCCAUGCCGCGUGUGUGAAGAAGGCCUUCGGGUUGUAAAGCACUUUUGUUGGGAAAGAAAAGCAGCCGGUUAAUAUCCGGUUGUCAUGACGGUACCCAAAGAAUAAGCACCGGCUAACUUCGUG
rnacentral:rRNA from 1 species